UGGGUUGUAGCUCAGUGGUAGAGCGCUUGCCUGGCACGUGAAGCACUGAGUUCCAUCCUCAGCACCAUAU
rnacentral:tRNA from 1 species